CCUACGGGAGGCAGCAGUGAGGAAUAUUGGUCAAUGGGCGGGAGCCUGAACCAGCCAAGUCGCGUGAGGGAAGACGGUCCUAUGGAUUGUAAACCUCUGUAGGCGGGGAGCAAUGCCGGGCACGCGUGCCCGGAGGGAGAGUACCCGCAGAAUAAGCAUCGGCUAACUCCGUGCCAGCAGCCGCGGUAAUACAGAGGUCUCAAGCGUUGUUCGGAAUCAAUGGGCGUAAAGCGUGCGUAGGCUGUUUCGUAAGUCGUGUGUGAAAGGCGCGGGCUCAACCCGCGGACGGCACAUGAUACUGCGAGACUAGAGUAAUGGAGGGGGAACCGGAAUUCGUGGUGUAGCGGUGAAAUGCUUAGAUAUCACGAAGAACUCCGAUUGCGAAGGCAGCUUACUAAACUGCCACUGACAUUGAUGCUCGAAAGUGUGGGUAUCAAACAGGAUUAGAUACCCUGGUAGUC
rnacentral:rRNA from 1 species